GGCGGGGCGCGCCGGGCGCCGGGGCUCGGCGGGGCGGGAAGCGCGGGAGCGUGAGGCAGCGGCGGCGGCGCGGGGCCGCGUCCCGAGAAGGCGGGCGGGAAGCCCCGCUCCCCCCCGUCCGCCGGUGCGAGGGGACAGCUCCCCCCUCAGUGCGCAGCGCGCCGCCGGGCUGCUCUGGCCGUGUGCGGGGAGCGGGGCCUUCGUGGCGCCCGGCGGGUGCUGGGGCGGGCCCUCGAGACGCCAGCCGCCUGCCUCAGUGCCCUCCUUCGGCUCCCUCAGCCUCCGUGAGGGGUUCGCAGCCCGCAGGUAGGGAGCUCACCUGCGAAGGUCGGUGUAAGACGGACAGACGCGUUGUCUUCUUGUUACUAGAACUGUCUGAGAAACAACUUUCCCUUAAGGAAAAAAAAAAAAAACAAACAAAAAAAGGUGUUCCUGACGCCUUGGGAACGCAGCCGUGGCGAGACUGGGCCGUCCUAAACCCGGUUGUGCAGAUGUGGUAAAGCCGGGAAUUGGAUUUGUGUAAGGAGCCGGGAAAGGGGAAUCCUCCAGCGUUCUGCGUUCCUACGUGGGAGGGGAUAAAAAGCUUAUCUGCGGCAAUGAUAGAUCCUUUAGAGAACAACUUGUUUGAACUUCCUGAUUAUGAGAAUACAGAAGAUGAAACGUUCCCGCCUCUUCCACCUCCUGCCUCUCCAGGAAGAGAUGAUGCUGAAUGGGCUCAAGCUAAUGGAGAUGGAAACCAGCAGUCACAAACAAAGGAUUCUGCUGUAGCUACACGGAAAGCAGUCAAAAGGCCAAUGCCUAAACUAGAUGCCCAGAGGUUAAUUUCGGAAAGGGGACUUCCAGCCCUAAGACACGUGUUCGACAAUGUAAAGUUCAAGGGUAAAGGGCAUGAGGCAGAGGACCUGAAAACACUCAUACGACACAUGGAACACUGGGCUCAUAGACUGUUUCCAAAAUUGCGGUUUGAGGAUUUUAUUGACAGAGUAGAGUCUUUGGGAAACAAAAAGGAAGUUCAGACCUGCCUAAAGCGAAUUAGACUUGAUCUUCCUAUUUUACAUGAAGACUUUGCAGGUAACGAAGGUGGUGGAGGGGAGAGCAAUGGGCUGGACACCGCCAUUGAAGAUGAACCUUCCUGCCCUGGAAAUGCAGAACAACAACUCGCUUCUCUGUCUGGUACAACUCUUACGGAAGAGCACCAGCAGCGAAUGAUGAAGAACAGGCAGCUGGCCUUGGAGCGUAGGCGAGCAAAGAUGCAGUGUAACAGCCACUCGCAACACAAUGGUAAUCAACUAGCAGAGCUCUCCACUAGUUACUUGGCAGAGGAGAUUAAUACCCCAGGGGCUCAGGAUCCUGCUGACUUUAUUGAAGACAUGGAAGGUACCACAGCUGAGGGUGCGGUUACAGAUGCUGAAGAUGAAGAGUUGGAAUAUGCCACUGAAGAGCAGUAACUGUUCCCCAUACUUUGGGCCACUUUCUUGACCAGAAGACUUUGAAGUAUUAUCAUUAUAUUGAAAUGUAGCUGGCUCUUUGCAUUCUGACUCUGGCAGUCUUCACUGUGACUUCUGUAUUGCACAGAGCUUCAAACUGCAGCUGGUACAGGCUUGCCCCCUUGGUCUGGCAGUACUCCUGAUAGUCUUCAUCAAUUGCUUCAACCCUUGCUGCCUCUUGCGCACGCUGGGCUUCGGCAGACUGACUGACUUCUUUUACUAAGUCAGACUUCACCACGUGAAAAUUCUGGGAAACCUCUGCAUCUGGAGUCUGGUAUGGUGUGUUCCUGAUUAUUUCCAGCUUGAUCGUGUCAGCAUGGCAGCGGGAAGUCUGCACAAGUAUUUUCACCUUAAAAGCAACAUAAAAAAUAAUUUUAUUUCUGAUAGCGCUAUUUCCUUUUACUUCCCUCAGAUUAAAUACUCACUGUAAUAUGAUCAAAAAGGCUUAAUGUAACUGAUUCUCCAGUA